rnacentral:rRNA from 1 species
UACGUAGGCAGCAAGCGUUGUUCGGAGUUACUGGGCGUAAAGGGUGUGUAGGCGGUUGGAUAAGUGUGGUGUGAAAUCUCCCGGCUUAACUGGGAGGGUGCGCUACAAACUGUCUGACUAGAGUGUGGGAUGGGUAAGUGGAAUUCCUGGUGUAGCGGUGAAAUGCGUAGAUAUCAGGAGGAACACCGGUGGUGUAGACGGCUUUCUGGACCGUAACUGACGCUGAGAUACGAAAGCGUGGGUAGCAAACAGG